rnacentral:rRNA from 1 species
GUGGGGAAUAUUGGACAAUGGGGGGAACCCUGAUCCAGCCAUGCCGCGUGUGUGAAGAAGGCCUUUUGGUUGUAAAGCACUUUAAGCGAGGAGGAGGCUACCGAGAUUAAUACUCUUGGAUAGUGGACGUUACUCGCAGAAUAAGCACCGGCUAACUCUGUGCCAGCAGCCGCGGUAAUACAGAGGGUGCAAGCGUUAAUCGGAUUUACUGGGCGUAAAGCGCGCGUAGGUGGCCAAGUAAGUCAAAUGUGAAAUCCCCGAGCUUAACUUGGGAAUUGCAUUCGAGACUGGUUGGCUAGAGUAUGGGAGAGGAUGGUAGAAUUCCAGGUGUAGCGGUGAAAUGCGUAGAGAUCUGGAGGAAUACCGAUGGCGAAGGCAGCCAUCUGGCCUAAUACUGACACUGAGGUGCGAAAGCAUGGGGAGCAAACAGGAUUAGAUACCCUGGUAGUCC